GAUGAACGCUGGCGGCGUGCCUAAUACAUGCAAGUCGAGCGAACAGACGAGGAGCUUGCUCCUCUGACGUUAGCGGCGGACGUGUGAGUAACACGUGUAUAACCUACCUAUAAGACUGGGAUAACUUCGGGAAACCGGAGCUAAUACCGGAUAAUAUAUUGAACCGCAUGGUUCAAUAGUGAAAGACGGUUUUGCUGUCACUUAUAGAUGGUUCCGCGCCGCAUUAGCUAGUUGGUAAGGUAACGGCUUACCAAGGCAACGAUGCGUAGCCGACCUGAGAGGGGGAUCGGCCACACUGGAACUGAGACACGGACCAGACUCCUACGGGAGGCAGCAGUAGGGAAUCUUCCGCAAUGGGCGAAAGCCUGACGGAGCAACGCCGCGUGAGUGAUGAAGGUCUUCGGAUCGUAAAACUCUGUUAUUAGGGAAGAACAAAUGUGUAAGUAACUAUGCACGUCUUGACGGUAACUAAUCAGAAAGCAACGGCUAACUACGUG
rnacentral:rRNA from 1 species